rnacentral:rRNA from 1 species
GUGCCAGCAGCCGCGGUAAUACGAAGGGGACUAGCGUUGUUCGGAAUCACUGGGCGUAAAGCGCACGUAGGCGGAUGUGUCAGUCAGGGGUGAAAUCCCGGGGCUCAACCUCGGAACUGCCUUUGAUACAGCACGUCUCGAGUCCGGAAGAGGUGGGUGGAAUUCCUAGUGUAGAGGUGAAAUUCGUAGAUAUUAGGAAGAACACCGGUGGCGAAGGCGGCCCACUGGUCCGGUACUGACGCUGAGGUGCGAAAGCGUGGGGAGCAAACAGGAUUAGAUACCCGUGUAGUCC